AUUGAACGCUGGCGGCAGGCCUAACACAUGCAAGUCGAGCGGUAGCACAGAGAGCUUGCUCUCGGGUGACGAGCGGCGGACGGGUGAGUAAUGUCUGGGAAACUGCCUGAUGGAGGGGGAUAACUACUGGAAACGGUAGCUAAUACCGCAUAACGUCGCAAGACCAAAGUGGGGGACCUUCGGGCCUCAUGCCAUCAGAUGUGCCCAGAUGGGAUUAGCUAGUAGGUGGGGUAAUGGCUCACCUAGGCGACGAUCCCUAGCUGGUCUGAGAGGAUGACCAGCCACACUGGAACUGAGACACGGUCCAGACUCCUACGGGAGGCAGCAGUGGGGAAUAUUGCACAAUGGGCGCAAGCCUGAUGCAGCCAUGCCGCGUGUGUGAAGAAGGCCUUCGGGUUGUAAAGCGCUUUCAGCGGGGAGGAAGGCGAUAAGGUUAAUAACCUCAUCGAUUGACGUUACCCGCAGAAGAAGCACCGGCUAACUCCGUGCCAGCAGCCGCGGUAAUACGGAGGGUGCAAGCGUUAAUCGGAAUUACUGGGCGUAAAGCGCACGCAGGCGGUCUGUCAAGUCGGAUGUGAAAUCCCCGGGCUCAACCUGGGAACUGCAUUCGAAACUGGCAGGCUAGAGUCUUGUAGAGGGGGGUAGAAUUCCAGGUGUAGCGGUGAAAUGCGUAGAGAUCUGGAGGAAUACCGGUGGCGAAGGCGGCCCCCUGGACAAAGACUGACGCUCAGGUGCGAAAGCGUGGGGAGCAAACAGGAUUAGAUACCCUGGUAGUCCACGCCGUAAACGAUGUCGAUUUGGAGGUUGUGCCCUUGAGGCGUGGCUUCCGGAGCUAACGCGUUAAAUCGACCGCCUGGGGAGUACGGCCGCAAGGUUAAAACUCAAAUGAAUUGACGGGGGCCCGCACAAGCGGUGGAGCAUGUGGUUUAAUUCGAUGCAACGCGAAGAACCUUACCUGGUCUUGACAUCCACAGAACUUUCCAGAGAUGGAUUGGUGCCUUCGGGAACUGUGAGACAGGUGCUGCAUGGCUGUCGUCAGCUCGUGUUGUGAAAUGUUGGGUUAAGUCCCGCAACGAGCGCAACCCUUAUCCUUUGUUGCCAGCGGUCCGGCCGGGAACUCAAAGGAGACUGCCAGUGAUAAACUGGAGGAAGGUGGGGAUGACGUCAAGUCAUCACGGCCCUUACGACCAGGGCUACACACGUGCUACAAUGGCAUAUACAAAGAGAAGCGACCUCGCGAGAGCAAGCGGACCUCAUAAAGUAUGUCGUAGUCCGGAUUGGAGUCUGCAACUCGACUCCAUGAAGUCGGAAUCGCUAGUAAUCGUAGAUCAGAAUGCUACGGUGAAUACGUUCCCGGGCCU
rnacentral:rRNA from 1 species